ensembl:misc_RNA 7SK 7SK RNA
GGAUGUGUGGGUGAUCUGGCUGCAACAUCUGUCAUCCCAUUGGUCACCAGCAUUGAUUCAGUGAUCUGGAUGGCUGGGCUGGUGUUCCUCUCUCCUUCCAUGAUCAAUGUGUAUCCAGAAGCUGUGCAUUUGGCCUAGGAGGAUGACUAUCUGCUGAAGAUGAUGACCACUCCUUGGUCAAGGGUAUAUGACUAGCUGAGCACCCCUGCAAGAGCUUACAAAGGAGUUCCUAAGGUCUGCAGCAGCCAAGACCCAGGACAAGCAAGGACAGGCU